rnacentral:lncRNA from 1 species
CAACAUCCAUCAGGAUAUUGAAAAAUCCAGUGGUUUUCCACCUCUCCCCUCGUCUGCCUCCUCUCUCCUCUACUCUAUUUCCGUCUCCAUCAACACAGCAAUUGACUAUCCAUCACUAUUGUUCAAGAAAACCAAAUCCCAAUGCUCUGCAAUUUCAGGAAGAAAUGGAGAAAUGGAAUAUCCAUCAGUUUCAAGGGGCUCUUGCCGUCGAUUCGACAACUAUCAAGGUUCAAACCGACGGGUCCAAGCCUCUUCGCCCCCAAUCCAUCACUUCUCCUUAAUAUCAGUCGAAAAGGUGACCCCUUUCUCUUCAUUGUUGAUCUCUCUGAUUAUCUCCUGCAAUUGGUGUUCUCAAGAACAUCAAAAUUCAAAUUUGAUUUUUUUUCUCCAAGAGUCGUUGCAGUUUGGCCUAUAAAAGGGGGCUUUGUUCACGCUUAUGAAAAAACUUAAGAGAAAAGUGAUAGAGAAUUGGGGGAAUAUAUUGAGUUCUUUCAUACUCUUCCAUUCACUAACUUCUCUAUUAUCUUUGUUUUCUUUCUUUCGGUCCCCGACGAAUUUCUACCGCUUUUCAUUGUUUCGUCCUGACACCUAAGGUAGAAGUUGGUGGUGAAGAGCCUUUUAGACUCCUCGUCGUCUCAGCUCACUAAACCAUAAAAGGUAACCUCUCUUCCUCCCUUUCUGUUCAAUUGUAUUUUUCCGUUUCUCGUUUCGUUGAUGUCUGGGACUAUAUGGCUUUGUAAUGGCUAAAUCCCUUUUAUAUAUUGUUUAAUUGUAUGUUAAUAUCUGAACAUUUAUUAUAGUCGUUUGCUUAGUCGUUAUGACUGUUGAAAGAGUAUAGACUAAGAGGAGCAUUUUGAUGGAUGUUAAAGGAAGAUGGAGAACGUCACAUGACGUUCGUCGUUUAUCUCCGUCCUCUGCUCGUAAAAUACUCCAAAUAUCCCCAUUCCUAUUUUCUCCUGAUGCUUCAGUUCUCUUCAAGCAAAGAGAUUAUUUUAAGCUCAUGUUUGUGGUUCGUGGCUCUUAUAUUUGUUCGUGCUAAAGAUUUGUUGCUGUUUUUUCUUUAAUUUCCUUGGCAUACUGUUUUAACAUUUAAUCCAAGCAUGGGGUAAGAGGCUGAUCAUAUAUGCAUCAUAGAAUGAAUAAUUACAGCCUUAGAGUGUUUGCUACUCCCACUUCCCUUUUUUCCUAAUUCGUAUAAUUUUUUUCCUUUUCCGUCCGCCCCAUCGAUUUUUUAGAGUACUCCUAUCUAGCUAUUUAGUAGAAAUUUGAGAUGUGGGGAUGUUCAUGUGAGCGUUAUGCAGUAAAAGAAAAUAUACUUUGGUGUUAGUCACUUUCACCUCUCUUUUCCUCAAUAAAUUUUGCAUAAGUUUCUUCCCACCUGUUAUUCCCUCAUGAAUAUCUCAUGUUGUUUUUAUUGCUGCCCUUUUAUUGUCUAAAUUAGUUAUUUUGACUCAAAAUAAGUAUAUGGUUAAGGGAUGCAUCCAUUGACACCACAUAUAGAAGAAGAACACUUCGUGGUGUUCAUUAUUCUAUACCUCUCUUUUCCUCAAAUACUUUGAGCAAGUUCCUCCCCUCACUCCCUUAUGUGAAAGUAUUUUCGUAGCCUAUGUGAUCAGAUUUUUGUUUGAGUUCGAGUGGCCGUUGGUUUUGCUCGACUCCGUACUUGAAUGCGCUCCCAAAAGAGGAUGUUCUAGCCUUUCCUUUUGAUCCGUUUAUGGCUAGAUAUUUCUUUCUAGAAUAUGUCCCUUUGUUCCUUUAUGAACUAAGUAUAUGAUGUGCUUUCCUGGUUGAGCUUGAAGUUUUAUAAAGUUGCAUCCAAGUUUUAAUUAAAGUCUCCAGGCAAGGAUUCCUAAAUGAGAUAGGCUUUAUGGUUAAAACUUGACUUUUUUUCUCUCUUUUGCAUCUGCACUAGUAGCAUAACGUAACGGGAGGCUCAUUUGAGUUUGAAGGAAAGAAGUUAACAUAUUGUAAUGUUUACUUUCACACUUUUCUUCUUGCUGAAACAUACAUGAGAUGUGCCUGACUACAUAUUCCUUUAAAUUAAUAUCAUCUGUGAAUUUUGGUUUUCCUUUUUCUAUGCAUAAAAUGGUAUUUCUAUUUCUUGGGAUCUUUGAAAUAAAAGUAACAAGUUAGGUAUGCACUGUCCAUGAAAUCUUGUCUUCUUUACAUUUGCUAGCUACGAAUAAUGAAUUAGAUGUUUCAAGUUUUAUGAUUAUUUUAACAUCUUUUUUUUUUGGUCGACUAUGAGCUUAUAAGUAUCAUGUUUAACCGAGUCCUUUUUUUUUAUUUUUAGAAACUUGAAUAACUAAUCCUUAUCUUCUCUUUAUUGCAUGAACUCCUUUGUGAGUCCCCCGGACUCCCAUUUCUCACAUUCGGUUGAGUUAAACCCAACCUCCAUCGAGUCAAAGCCUCAACCGAAUUCACAAACGAGCUGGUAUGAAUUGAUAUACUCUGAUAUAUGAUGAAUAUACUCUGAAUUGGUGUUGGGGUGGGGUUAAGAGGGUGUGGGUGUGGGUGUGGGUGUGGGUGUGGGUGUGGGUGUGGGUGUGGGUGUGGGAGUGGGUGGGGAUGGGCUGGGUGGGNNNNNNNNNNNNNNNNNNNNNNNNNNNNNNNNNNNNNNNNNNNNNNNNNNNNNNNNNNNNNNNNNNNNNNNNNNNNNNNNNNNNNNNNNNNNNNNNNNNNNNNNNNNNNNNNNNNNNNNNNNNNNNNNNNNNNNNNNNNNNNNAAAUUAUUUUUAUAUUUUUGAAAAUAUUUUUAAAUUAGUUUUAAAUUUUUAAAUUUAAAAAGAUGGAGGGAAAAAAGGACUCUUUUUAAAUUUUAAUAUUUUUUUAAUUAUUUUAAUGUAAAAUUGAUCAAAAAUUGACCCCCACUCGCACCCUCAGGCAAGUGGCUACACUCUCUUUGUUCUUUGUCCUAAUUACCAUAACCUUGCCACAUAGGCAAGGUCAACGGUCAAAAAGUGUAAAAUGUUACUUUUUGAUGGGUUCAAGGGUCCAGAUGAUAAAUAUGUAAGUAGAAAUGUCCAACUUACAAAAUCGACAUAGAACAGGGGUCCAGAAGGUCAUUUUGCCUAAUUAAUAACAUGGUUAGUUUAUCAUAGUGCCCCUAUUAAAUGAUGUUUACAUUUUAAUUUGAAGAUAAAUUUUUGUCUCUUGUUGAUUAAUGAAAAAGGACAAGUAAAAUAGAAAAUCAAAUUAGGAAAUUUGGGACGGAGGGAGUACGUUGUAUACGCAGUAGUAGUAUAUUGAAAAACGCAGGAAAGAAGCCACUGAUAUACCACAGAUAUACAGGGGUAAAAAAUGGGCUAAAGUUCAUGGAAUUGGUCCAAAAUUGGACAGAUUUUUAAUGGGCCAAAAGGGGCCCAGUUUUCACUCUUCUCUAUUUAAUUAUCCAUUUUUAUUUAUUUAUUUGUAUUUGCUUGAACACCUUAAUUAAUUAAUCUAAGAUAAGUUCCUCAAGGUGUUACCAUUUUUAUUUUAUCUUCAUUUUUGCUAUCUUUACUUAUUUGAAUCUUCCUUUUUUUUUUUUUAAAUAAUAAUAAUAAUAAUAAUAAUAAUAAUAAUAAUAAUAAUAAUAAAGCAAGAGUCAUUUAUGAAUAGUAAAAAACACUUAGCUUUUUGAAAAAGCAAGGGUCGUUUAUAAAUAGUAAAGGCCAAUUGUGAAUAGUAAGGGCCAUUUCUUGUUUUGUCCUUUGUAUAGAGCAUCCAUUAUAUAAGGAGCUCAUUUUUCAUUUUUUAAGGACAGGUUUUAGAACUACCAUUUUUUCUCUACUACUCUCUCUCCCUUGUAAUAUGUAUCUUGGUUUGAAAUAAAAGCUUUUGGUUCUGUGCACAAUUCAUCCAUAUUAUGGUUAUUUUUAAAUUUCUGCAUUUUAAUUUUAAUUGGAGAUGGUAUAAAGAUGUAUUCCUUUCUAGAGUGAUGAAAUUACCUGAGAUUAAUAGUUCUCAUUGGAAGUCCAAGUUUAUAGAUGGUCUUCCCAUGUUAUUUGCUGAAAGAAUUAGGAAAACCUUAGAGAUCCUAAUGUGAGUAUUAACUAUGAGGCUUACAUCUAUGAUUACCUUAUAAAGGUUGUUACUCAAGAAGAUUUAGCUUUAUGUAGUGAGAUUAAGUUAAAUCAAUAGAUUAAGAAGUAUCGUCGUACUGAAAGACAAUAGCUGGGAGAAUUUUGUGAGCAAUUUGCUAUAGAUAUUCCCAAAACCUUUGGAGAAUCUCAUAAAGAGUAAGAAAAAGUACUCUAGGGAGAAAAAAGUCUAAAAAGAUUGAGAAGAAGGGAAAAAGAAAAGAGGAUUACAAAUCCAAUAAAGCUUAUAGAAAGCCAAGAAGGCCAACACUUGUUACCGAUGUGGUAGAUUUGGUCACUUUGCAAAAGAUUGCAAAGUAAAAAGUAAGAUCAAGAGUCUCACUAUUGAUGAUGAUAUUAAAGACUCUUUGUGUAAGAUUUUGCUCAAUUCCUCUCCAAAAAACUCCAGUUCGGACCAUAGUGAUAAUGAGGAAAAUGAUUCAAUCGAUGAGGACUUGCGAGUUCUCUCCACCAAGAAGACUAUAUGCCUUCAGAUGAUGAGUGCAUACUUUGCCAAGAAGGACAACCUUGUACAAACAAGGAGGAUGGGGAUGUUUUAUACAACAUCAUAUCCCAAUUUCAAUAUAUAGAAAUUAAUGUCUUGAAAGAUGACAAAUUAGCAGCUCUACUAGAAAUGCUAAAAGACCUGGGUAAGCAGGAUGAUAAGCCAUCCACCAGUUCUUCCCCUCUUCAGGAGGAAAUGCAUAUUAUUCCCUCCCAAAAAGGUCUUUAUACCAUGACCGAAGUUAAUAAACUUUUAAGGGAAAGACGGAAGGUUGAAGUUAUUCCAGCAACAACCCAGGACCUGAAGAAUGAGAUAGAUAAUCUCAAGAAGGGAAUAUCUUUCCUUAAGAGGCAUAAUUUGGCAUUAGAUCAAAGGGUUUCUGCUUUAGAAAACCCAAAAUUAUUACCCGCUGAGGUAGAUAAGCAGGGCAGGCUGUAACUGCAUUUAAGAAGGUAUGAUACCUUUAAGAUAUUUCAAAAAGACCACUAAUACUGUGAGGAAUGCAAAUGGUCAGAAAAUGGGAGUCGAAUAUAGAAUCCCUAAAGCGUACAUUUGCAAAAACAAAGUUUGUAUGCCUGAAACUUUUGUUUUAGUUAAAGAUAUUACCGAUGAGCUUAUCUUAGGGAAACCUUGGUUUCUACAUUUGUAUUCGUUAGUCCGUUGGGAUGAAAAAGGUAUCAUUGAAACUUUAAUAAUAAACAUAUUCAGUUUGACUGGUGUGAUCCACUCUAUACCAGAUAUUUAAAUCGAUGAGGACCUGCGAGUUCUCUCCACCAAGAAGACUAUAUGCCUUCAGAUGAUGAGUGCAUACCUUGCCAAGAAGGACAACCUUGUACAAACAAGGAGGAUGGGGAUGUUUUAUACAACAUCAUAUCCCAAUUUCAAUAUAUAGAAAUUAAUGUCUUGAAAGAUGACAAAUUAGCAGCUCUACUAGAAAUGCUAAAAGACCUGGGUAAGCAGGAUGAUAAGCCAUCCACCAGUUCUUCCCCUCUUCAGGAGGAAAUGCAUAUUAUUCCCUCCCAAAAAGGUCUAUAUACCAUGACCGAAGUUAAUAAACUUUUAAGGGAAAGACGGAAGGUUGAAGUUAUUCCAGCAACAACCCAGGACCUGAAGAACGAGAUAGAUAAUCUCAAGAAGGGAAUAUCUUUCCUUAAGAGGCAUAAUUUGGCAUUAGAUCAAAGGGUUUCUGCUUUAGAAAACCCAAAAUUAUUACCCGCUGAGGUAGAUAAGCAGGGCAGGCUGUAACUGCAUUUAAGAAGGUAUGAUACCUUUAAGAUAUUUCAAAAAGACCACUAAUACUGUGAGGAAUGCAAAUGGUCAGAAAAUGGGAGUCGAAUAUAGAAUCCCUAAAGCGUACAUUUGCAAAAACAAAGUUUGUAUGCCUGAAACUUUUGUUUUAGUUAAAGAUAUUACCGAUGAGCUUAUCUUAGGGAAACCUUGGUUUCUACAUUUGUAUUCGUUAGUCCGUUGGGAUGAAAAAGGUAUCAUUGAAACCUUAAUAAUAAACAUAUUCAGUUUGAAUGGUGUGAUCCACUCUAUACCAGAUAUUUAAAUUUGAUUAAAGAAAAGAUUAUUUCAAAAAAAUAGGCAGAUGGAAUUUUUGAAAAAUGAAAUUUGGAGUUUGACUAUCAAUGAAACUCUUCAAAAACCAAAAUUACUUGAAAAAAUUGAGUUUCUAAAAAAUCAGUUGUCAAUUAAAAUUUAUGGGGAUCAUCUAAAUGCAUUUUGGCAAAGGAAACAUGUUUUUAGUCUCCCAUAUGAAAAUGAUUUCCAAGAAGGUAAUAUACCGACUAAGGUCAGACCUUGUCAAAUGAGUUCUGACUAUUUAGAAUUAUGUAAAAAAGAAAUUGAAUCUCUUUUUCAUAAGGGCCUGAUUCGACCAUCUAAGUCUCCAUGGUCAUGUACUGCUUUUUAUGUGAAUAAGCAUGCAGAACAAGAACGAGGAGUUCCGAGGUUAGUUAUCAAUUACAAACCUUUGAAUAAAGUCCUCAAAUGGAUUAGAUGUCCAAUUCCCAAUAAGAAGGAUUUAUUAGAUCGUUUGUAUGAUGCUCUAAUAUUUUCAAAAUUUGAUUUGAAAUUAGGUUAUUGGCAAAUCCAGAUAUUAGAAACUACAACAACAACAUACCUAGUGUAUUCCCACCUAGUGGGGUCUGGGGAGGGUAGAGUGUACGCAGAUCAUACCACUACCUCAAGAGAAGUAGAGAUACUGUUUUCGAUAGACCCCUAGCUUAGGACCAAUAACAGUAUAACAAAUACAAAAAGUAAGCGGAUACAAAUUAGUAUGGUACACAAAACAUACUAACAAUAUAACAAACACAAAAGAUAAGUGCAUAAUAAACUAGUACGGGAUGUAAAAAAGCCAACACUACUAAUCCCAAAAACUACAACCCCAUCACUAUGAACCAGAAACUGCAGACCCAAAGGAGCACUCCCCUAUUACUACCGUCGCGCUCCCACUCCCUAACUCUUUAUACUAAUCUGUGUCCUCCACACCUUCCUAUUAAGGGUCAUGUCCUCUGUAAGUUCUAAUUGCUCCAUAUUAUGCCUAAUCACCUUCCUCCAAUAUUUCUUCGGUCUGCCUCUAGCCCGCCUAAAACCAUCCAUAGCCAGCGUCUCACACCUCCGCACUGGAGCAUCAGAGCCCUUCCUCAUUAUAUGCCCGAACCAAUGUAGCCUCACUUCUCGCAACUUAUCCUCUACCGAGGCAACUUUCACCUUCUCCCGAAUAAUCUCAUUCAAAUAAUCUCAUUCCUCACCCUAUCUUUCCUGGUAUGUCCACACAUCCAUCGCAACAUUCACAUCUUUGCCACCUUCACCUUUUGGAUGUGGGAGUUCUUAACUCCGCUCCAUACAACAGAGCCGUCCGGAUUACCACUCUGUAGAAGUUACCUUUAAGCUUCGGGGGCACUUUCUUAUCACAAAGGACUCCCGAAGCGAGCCUCCACUUGCAAAUCCCAAUUGGGCAAAAAUAAUUGAUGCUGAUGCAUCUGACAUUGGAUAUGGUGGAAUUCUCAAGCAAUAUUCCCCAGAAGAAAAAUGUGUUCAUAUUGUUCAAUAUUAUUCUGAAAAAGGGAGUGCUAGCCAAAAAAAAUUAUGCAACUGUAGCUAAAGAAAUUUUUGCUAUAGUUAAAUGUGUUCUUAAAUUUCAAAGUGAUCUUUAUAAUCAAAAGUUCCUAAUUAGGACUGAUUGCCAAGCUGCAAAAUUUAUCUUUAAUAAAGAUUUUAAACAUGAUGUUUCUAAGCAAAUGUUUGCAAGAUGACAGGCUUUGUUAGCCCCAUUUGAUUUUGAAAUCUAAUACUUAAAAGGAUCGGAUAAUAGUCUACCCGAUUUUUUAACCAGUGAAUUUUUAAGCUAAUGUUUUCUCUUAUGGAUUUCAGGAUGGCCUCACGAGGAUCCUCUUCUUCUUCAUUUAGAGGAAGAGGUGGAAGAAAUUCACCAAAAGGCAGAGGUAAUGUCCUCGUCCAAAUUGAAAAUCAGAGGCUGAUAUCCUCGAGCAUUGCAAGCUCAAGUUCUUCUGGUAUGAAUACAGAUGAACAAACAUAUCAAGAAUUUUUUGAAUUCAUGAAAUUCAAGUCUAAGAAAUAUGGGGAUACUGAGGUCCCUUUCGUAUUCAAGUAUUAUUAACGAUGACAAUUGGAAUACUGAGUUGUAUGAAUGCAACAAGACAGAGGAAGUCAUAAUUUUCCUCGAAGACCAUGAUCUUAGAUGGAAAGAUAAUCUUUGGCAGCUGAUGCAAAGGUAUUUGGAUAAUAUAUUUUAUGCUGCGGUAUCUUACAAAUAUCGCAAACAUUAUCAAUCCAUAUAUUAUCUGCAAUGGGUUCUGCAGAAAUCCAACAUUUAUAUGUUAAUGAAGCAGUCAAAAAGGAUUAUAGUUAUUCUAAAAUUAUAAUCAAACAGAUUUUGACUAAUGAAGAAUGAGGCUUGAGUACCCUAAAAGAAAGAAUAUAUACAUCCCGAACAACAGGAAGUUACUGUAAAAUAUAAUUACUGAGAUUAUAUGGAAAGCUUUGAUAAGGUUUUCUUAUGUGAUAAUCUUGAGAGAUCUCAUUCAUGGUUUGUGAAAAUAUGCGCAAAUGUGCACAAACAGAGCAUACCAAAUUGGUUUGCUAAAUGGUGGAUCUUGCAUGGUCCCUUACCAAAUAUAUUGUCUGAGCCAUUUAAAAGUCUGUACAAGGAUUGGAUAGAAGUAUCACCAAUACUUCUAAAAAUGCAAAAAGAUAAUGCAUAUUUUGAAGGAAUAUCUAUGAUGUAUUUCUUUAUUGAAUUUUCAAUUCAGUGGAUCUUGAAGUGGUCUAUAAAGGUAAAAUCAAAUACUAAUAAUUUACCAUGUUUGAUGCGGGUUUAUUAUACAAAAUUUUGGAGUAAAUCAAACCAGCAAACUGGUAACGGUAAUGUCCAUGGUCACCAACUAAUUGAAUCAAUAAAGAUAACUGUUGCAAAAUAUAGACAACAAAAAGAAAUGGAGUCUCCUCAUGAGCAGGAAGAGCUUAGCCCUUUCAAGAACAUCACUAGAAAGCUUCAAAUGAAGAAGGGCACAAUGACAAAAGCUUGAAAUUUGGCAUCCUAUAUGGAAGAAGUCAAAAAAGAUUUAUUGAAAAAUCUUGAUCAGGAGUACACUUUAAAUAUGUCUAUCUUUUCUGUAGGGGAUUGCUUGGCUGGUGAGUCGCAGGAUAUCCAGAGUGAUGAAGAAAUAGAUUUGGAUGAUUAUUUGCGAAAUUUCAAACAACCAUGAAAGAAUCUUCCAGCACUACAAAAAACAAAGUGGAAAAAUGACAUAAGAACAUGGAGGGUCCUGUCAAUGUUGAAAUUAUUGAAAGUUAUGAUGGCAGACAAAAUGAAAACAACUUAAUGAAAAAGCAAGAGUUCAUUUAUGAAUAGUAAAGGACACUUAGCUUUCUGAAAAACAAGGGUCGUUUAUAAAUAGUAAAAGCCAAUUGUGAAUAGUAAGGGUCAUUUCUUGUUUUGUCUUUUGUAUAGAGCAUUCAUUAUAUAAGGAGCUCAUUUUUCAUUUUCCAAGGACAGGUUUUAGAACCACCACUUUCUCUUUACCACUCUCUUUUAUAUAUCUUAGUUUGAAAUAAAAGCUUUUGGUUCUGAGCACAAUCCAUCCAUAUUAAGGUUAUUUUAAAAUUUCUGCAUUUUAAUUUUAAUUUUAACUUUAUUAUCUCUAGCAAAUUCCUAGUGUUGAACUAUAACAGAAUAUGUUACAUGUAUGAAAUGACAUCUUGUUAUUAAUAAGAAUCGUAAACCUCCAUUAUUGCAGAGGUUUGUAUGUUAAGAUGCUGCAAUUAUGAGUCCAAUCUUGACAUUAAUGUCGGAUGUCCCGGUAAAGGCCGAUUAGCCAGGUAGGCGUGAAGGGUCGUAAUUGGGACUUGGUUGAAGAUUGACUUAUGACUAAGGUUAACUAACAUAUAGUAAAAGUACCUAGUGCGACAGUGAAGCAAUCCGGUUCUUGUAUGGUAUCAAAGCCAUGGAAUACUUGUAUACAUAACUGUUAUAUGUUCAACACAUCAUUCCUAAUGAAUAUCAUCAGGAAGAAAAAUACUAUGAAAAAUAGUAAAAAAGAGGAGUAUGAUAUUCCUCGAAACUUGGAUCUGCUUAAUAAGUGGACGGUCCCAAAAGUGCCAUCCAGAAAGUUGUACCAAAUGGGAACUUUCGAGACUUUAGGUCUCAAACAGUUGUUAAAAUAACUAAAGAGACACUUACAGUAGAUAGUGAUCAUGCUACUUUCAAAUUAUUAUCUGAAAGUGAUUUUGCUCCAUAUCAUGAAACAUGUAAGUUUAUGCAUAUUGGUUUAAUUUAAGUCGUAUUUAAACCACCAACCCUGAGAGGUUUGCCUGAAAGCUUUAUUGCAGCUUUAAGAGAUGGCAGAAAUAAAAAUUGGAAGAAGUCUCUUAUUGGGAACGUCCAAACCAGUUUGGCUUAUGGCCCGAUGUAUUUUAAUGCAUAUCCUAAUCUACAGAUAUCUCUCACUGCUGAGAAUUCUUUGGAUGCUUUAAUUUUGAGUAUUAAAUUGCAUGGAUAUAAUUACAUGCCUGGUACUGAGGUUAUAUGUAUUUGCUAUAGGAUAUAUUAUAAACCUCUCCAUACUUUAAAUCCAAUGUGUAGAAUGAUGGAUUUCAAAAAUGAAACUAUUUUAAUAGGAACAAAUUUUUGUAGAUCCAAAGUUGUUACUAGGCGACUUAUAAAAUGAGAUGAAAUUGAUUUUCCAAAAGAAUGGAUCCUUGAGGAUGCAGCUCCUCCUCAAACAGAUCUCAAUGAAGAGAUUUCAGAGGUAGAACAAUCCGCUGAUGGUACUGUUCGAAUCAGAUUUUCUGAUUCAUUACCUCUAUUAAACAGAGUUGAUGAUUUGUUUGUUGCAACAUCAUUGAGAUUAACAAGAUCAACAUCUUCAUACAUAUCUCCUGUUGUUGAUUAUAUUGUUAGAUCUCCCUCUAGAGCUUCUACAUCUCAGAUUAGAGAAAACACUAGAAUGAAUAACAUCAGGAUUGAUAAUGAUAAUAUUGUUACUGCAAUUCCUGAUAUGAAUCCAAUUGAGUCCUAAAUAGAAUUUCCAACUGGUUUAAAAUGAAUCACAGCCAAAUUGAUUUUAGUCCAGGAUCUCUGGCAAGAAAUUUUUUUUUCUAAAGAAUACUAUAAACCUAAAUGGGAAUUGUUCCGAACAUAGUUUUUUCAAAACUGUAGCAAAGAAGAAAAAACUGCUUUCCAGGAAGAGUUCUAUGCAGAUCUUUCUGUGCAUAGUAAAAUAAUUGCUUUCGUGCCCUAAUUUAUGGCCAGAUAUGUGGAUAAUUAUAUUUCCAUGCUAGCUAGGGAGUUUAAAUUACCUACCGGAGAAACUACUGCUUCAGUAUUCUCUCUCCAGCAGUCCUUUCAAAUCGAAAGAGACAACAAGUUAGUUUAUUUUACAGUCUUUGUUAUGAUGAUGGAUAAUGAUACUGCCCUAAUAACUGCCCAAAAUAUCAAUACAAUGCUAAAACAGAAUAACUAUGCUAACUAUUAAAUGAGCAUCUUGGGAGAGCAAAUGAUUUCUCUAUAUAAGUCCUAUCUGAUUUUUGGAUAGAGCUUAGUAUUACUAAGCAAAUAGACCUUAAACUUAAGGACCCUGAGGUCCUGGCUACUCCAACCAUCCAACCUCUCCCUGAAAUCCAAGAUUUCAAGUUAUCUAUUGACUUGGAUAAUAUCAAAAAGUUGCUAGAAGAAAAAUUUCGUGGAUUAAAGAUAAAUCCUAUCCAUGAUGAAAAUUUUGCAGGAGACAACGAUGGGCAUGCUACUCCUGUUGAGAUAAAUAAGAUCUCAGAUAAAUUUGCUAGAAAAGCCUACCCAAAAGAUGUUUUAUUAUCCUAGAUCAACUCUUCAGGAUGUUCUAUUUGAAGAUCAAGGAUUAUAUGUCCUCAAUAGUUUCAGAGGUGAUGAAAUCUACGAGUGGAAUGUAGAUGACUUAUCUGAUAGAUAGAUAUCUAUAAUGGUACAUAGAAUGUUGAUGUACAAUACCAUAUAUAAAGCCCUUUCGAAAACUAAUGAUAGGGGCAUUGCCGAAAUCAGGUUUUACUGGUCAACUUAAAGGCUGGUGGGAUAAUUAUCUUAUCCAAGACCAGAAAACCAAAAUCAUCCAGUCUGUAUAGUAGUACAUGACCAAAGAGAGUUAGAUGGUCGAAUCAGGCCCUUAUGCAAAAGAGAUUAGCCAAUCAUAGGCUAGAGAUAAUAAAGUGUAAAUUAAAAUUAAAAUGCAGAAAUUUAAAAAUAACCUUAAUAUGGAUGGACUGUGCUCAAAACCAAAAACUUUUAUUUCAAACCGAGAUAUAUAUUACAAUGGAAAGAGAGUGGUGGUUCUAAAACUUGUCUUUAAAAAAUGAAAAAUGUGCUCCUUAUAUAAUGGAUGCUCUAUACAAAAGACAAAGCAAGAAAUGACCUUUACUAUUCAUAAUCGACCUUUAGAGGGACAUCGAACCGGAUCGCUUCACUGUCGCACUAGGUACUUUUACUAUAUGUUAGUUAACCUUAGUCAUGAAUCAAUCUUAAACCAAGUCCCAACUACGGUCCUUCACGCCCACCUAGCUAAUCGGCCUUUACAGGGACAUCCGGCAUUAAUGUCAAAAUUGAACUCAUAAUUGCAGCAUCUUAACAUACAACCUCUGCAACAAUCGAGGUUUAUGAUUCUUAUUAAUAACAAGAUGCCAUUUCAUACAUGUAACAUAUUCUGUUAUAGUUCAACACUAGGAAUUUAGCCCAUCAUAGGCUAGAGAUAAUAAAGUUAAAAUUAAAAUUUAAAUGCAGAAAUUUAAAAAUAACCUUAAUAUGGAUGGAUUGUGCUCAGAACAAAAAGAUUUUAUUUCAAACCAAGAUAUAUAUUAUAAGGAAGAGAGAGUAGUAGUAGAGAGAAAGUGGUGGUUCUAAAACCUGUCCUUAAAAAAAUAAAAAAUGAGCUCCUUAUAUAAUAGAUGCUCUAUACAAAAGACAAAACAAGAAAUGACCCUUACUAUUCACAAUUGGCUUUUACUAUUUAUAAACGACCCUUGUUUUUUCAAAAAGCUAAGUGUCCUUUACUAUUCAUAAAUGACUCUUGCUUUUUCAUUAAGCUGUUUUCAUUUUGUCUGCCAUCAUAGCUUUUAAUAAUUUCAACAUUGGCGGGACCCUUCAUGUUCUUAUGUCAUUUUCCCCUUUGUUCUUUGCAGUGCUGGAAAAUUCUUCUAUGGUUGUUUGAAAUUUUCGCAAAUAAUCAUCCAGAUCUAUUUCUUCAUCACUCUGGAUAUCCUGCAGGUCACCAGCCAAGCAAUCCCCUGCAGAAGAGAUGGACAUAUCUGAAGUGUACUCCUGAUCAAGAUUUUUCAAUAAAUCCUUUUUGACUUCUUCCAUAUAGGAUGCCAAAAUCUCAGCUUUGGUCAUUGUGCCCUUCUUUAUUUGGAACUUUCUAGUGAUGUUCUUGAAAGGCUAAGCUCUUCCUGUUCAUGAGGAGACUCCAUUUCUUUUUGUUGCCUAUAUUUUGCAACAGUCAUCUUUAUUGAUUCAAUUAGUUGGUGACCAUGGACAUUACCGUCACCGGUUUGCUGGUUUAGUUUACUCCAAAAUUUUGUAUCAUAAGCUCGCAUCAAACAUGCUAAAUUAUCAGUAUUUGAUUUUACCUUUAUGGACCACUUCAAGAUCCAUGAAAUUGAAAAUUCAAUAAAGAAAUAUAUCAUAAAUAUUCCUUCAAAAUAUGCAUUAUCUUUUUGCAUUUUUAGAAGUAUUGGUGAUACUUCUAUCCAAUCUUUGUACAAACUCUUAAAUGGCUCAGGCAAUAUCUUUGGUGAGGGACCAUGCAAGAUCCACCAUUUAGCAAACCAAUUUGGUAUGCUCUGUUUGUGCACAUUUGCACAUAUUUUCACAAACCAUGAAUGAGAUAUCUCAGGAUUCUCACAUAAGAAAACCUUCUCAAAGCUUUCCAUAUAAUUCCAGUUAUUAUAUUUUACAGCAACUUUCUGCUGUUCGGGAUGUAUAUAUUCUCUUUCUUUUAGAGUACUAAAGCCCCAUUCUUCAUGAGUCAAAAUCUGUUUGAUUAUAAUUUUAGAAUAACUAUAAUCCUUUUGGACUGCUUCAUUAGCAUAUAAAUGUUGGAUUUCUGCAGAACCCAUUGCAGAUAAUAUGGAUUGAUAAUGUUUGCGAUAUUUGUAAGAUAUCGCAACAUAAAACGUAUUAUCUAAAUACCCUUGCAUCAGCUGCCAAAGAUUAUCUUUCCAUCUAAGAUCAUGAUUUUCGAAGAAAAUUAUGACUUCCUCUGUCUUGUUGCGUUCAUACAACCCAGUAUUCCUAUUGUCAUCUUUAAUAAUACUUGAAUACGAAGGGACCUCAUUAUCCCCUUGUUUCUUAGACUUGAAUUUCAUGAAUUCUAAAAAUUCUUGAUAUGUCUGUUCAUCUGUAUUCAUACCAGAAGAACUUGAGCUUCCAAUGCUCGAGGAUAUUAGCCUCUGAUUUUCAAUUUGGGCGAGGACAUUACCUCUGCCUUUUGGUGAAUUUCUUCCACCUCUUCCUCUGAAUGAAGAAGAAGAUCCUCGUGAGGCCAUCCUGAAAUCCAUAAGAGAAAACAUUAGCUUAAAAAUUCACUGGUUGAAAAAUCGGGUAGACUAUUAUCCGAUCCUUUUAAGUAUUAGAUUUCAAAAUCAAAUGGGCUAACAAAGCCUGCCAUCUUGCAAAUAUUUGCUUAGAAACAUCAUGUUUAAAAUCUUUAUUAAGAUAAAUUUUGCAGCUUGGCAAUCAAUCUUAAUCAGGAAAUUUUGAUUCCAAUGAUCGCUUUGGAAUUUAAGAACACAUUUAACUAUUACAAGAAUUUCUUUAGCUACAGUUGCAUAAUUUUUCUGGCUGGCACUCCAUUUUUCAGAAUAAUGUUGAACAAUAUGAACACGUUUUUCUUCUGGGGAAUAUUGCUUGAGAAUUCCACCAUAUCUAAUGUUUGAAGCAUCAAUAUCUAUUAUUUUUGUCCAAUUGGGAUUUGCAAGUGUAAGGCAUGGUAGAUUUUCAACUUUAGCCUUAAUAUUUCUUACCACAGUAGUAUAGCUCAACGGAUACAGUUGUAGAAACCAAGGUUUCCCUAAGAUAAACUCAUCAGUAAUAUCUUUAACUAAAACAAAAGUUUCAGGCAUACAAACUUUGUUUUUGCAACUGUACACUUUAGGGAUUUUAUAUUCGACUCCUUUUUUUUGACCACUUGCGUUCCUCACAGUAUUAGUGGUCUUUUCGAAAUAUUUUGAAGGUAUCAUACCUUCUUGAAUGCAGUUACAACCUGCCCCACUAUCAAUGAGAGCUGUAAAUUCCUUCUUAUAGUUGUAAUCAAUAAGAAGGGUGACCUUAGCAUAGAAGUGUUGGUGAGCAGCUCCUUCUAAGGUUUUAAGGAAAUCUCCAUUAGGGAGAGUUUGACUAUCCUCAGUGGGUAAUAAUUUUGAAUUUUCUAAAGCAGAAACCCUUUGAUCUAAUGCCAAAUUAUGACUCUUAAGGAAAGAUAUUUCCUUCUUGAGAUUAUCUAUGUCAAUCUUCAGGUCCUGGGUUAUUGCUGAAAUAACUUCAGUCAUGGUAUAAGGACCUUUUUGGGAGGGAAUAAUAUGCAUUUCCUUUUGAAUAGGGGAAGAACUAGUGGAUGGCUUAUCAUCUUGCUUACUCAGGUCUUUUAGCAUUUCUAGUAGAGCUGCUAAUUUGUCAUCUUUCAAGACAUUAAUUUCUAUAUCUUGAAAUUUGGAUAUGAUGUUGUAUAAAACAUCCUCCUCCUCCUUGGUUUACAAGGUUGUCCUUCUUGGCAAGGUAUGCACUCAUCAUCUGAAGGCAUAUAGUCUUCUUGAUGAAGAAUUCGCAGGUCCUCAUCGGUUGAAUCAUUUUCCUCAUUAUCACUAUGGUUUGGACUGGAGUUUUCCGGAGAGGAAUUGAGCAAAAUCUUACACAGAGAGUCUUUAAUAUCAUCAUCAAUAGUGAAACUCUUGAUCUUGCUUUUUACUUUGCAGUCUUUUGCAAAGUGACCAAAUCUACCAUAUCGGUAACAAGUGUUGGCCUUCUUGGCUUUUCUAUAAGUCUUUUUGGAUUUGCAAUACUUUUUUUUUCCUUUUUCUCAUUCUUUUUCGAUUUUUUCUCCUCAGAUUACUUUUUCUUACUCUUAUGAGAUUCUCUAGAGGUUUUGGAAAUAUCUAUGACAAAUUGCUCACAAAAUUCUCCCAGCUGUUGUCUCUCAGUAAGACGAUACUUCUUAAUCUGUUGGUUUAACUUAAUCUCACUACAUAAUGCUAAACCUUCUUGAGUAACAACCUUUAUAAGGUUACCGUAGGUGUAAGCCUCAUAGUUAAUACUCACAUUUGGACCUUUAAGGGUUUUCCUAAUUCUUUCAGCAAAUAACAUGAGGAGACCAUAUAUAAACUUGGACUUCCAAUGAGAACUAUUACUCUCAGGUAAUUUCAUCACUCUAGAAAGGAAUACAUCUUUAUAUCAUCUCCAAGAUGUCAAAGUCUUACAUCUAAGAUUUUGGAGCAGAGUCCUAAUACUAUCACUAUUAUCGGAUCAUCUUCUAGAAAAGUGUUCAAUAUUAUUAAUAAUUAGAGUAUAAACAACGUUCAUGACCUCUUGACCAUCUUCUCUCUUUACUAUAGACUGGAUGAUUUUGGCUUUUUGGUCUUGGGUAAGAUAAUUAUUCCACCAGCCUUUAAGCUGACCAGUAAAACCUGCCGUAAUCAUUUCGGCAAUGCCCCUAUCAUUAGCUUUCAGAAGGGCUUUACAUAUGGUACUGUACAUCAACAUUCUAUGUGCCAUUGUGGAUAAGCCAUAUACAUUCCACUCGUAGAUUUCAUCACCUCCGAAACUAUUGGGGACAUAUAAUCCUUAUUCUUCAAAUAGAAUAUUCUGAGGAGUUGGUCUAGGAUAAUAAAACAUCUUUUGGGUAGGGUUUCUAGCAAAUUUAUGUGAGAUCUUAUUUAUCUCUACAGGAGUAGUAUGCCUACCGUUGUCUCCUGCAAAAUUUUCAUCGUGGAUAGGAUUUAUCUUUAAUCCACGAAAUUUUUCUUCUAGCAACUUUUCAAUAUUAUCCAAGUCACUAGAUAACUUGAAAUCUUGGAUUUCAGGGGGAGGUUGGAUGGUUGGAGUAGUCAGGACCCCAGGGUCCUUAAGUUUAAGGUCUAGUUGCUUAGUAUUACUAAGCUCAAUCCUUUUUAAAUCAGAUAGGACCUUAUCAAUUUUCUCAUGUAGAGAAAUUAUUUGCUCUCCCAAGGUGCUCAUAUAAUAGUUAGCAUAGUUAUGUUGUUUUAGCAUUGUAUUGACAUUUUGGGCAGUUAUUAGGGCAGUAUCAUUAUCCAUCAGCUUAGCAAAAGCUGUAAAAUGAACUACCUUGUUGUCUCUUUCGAUUUGAAAGGGCUGGUGGGGAGGGAAUACUGUAGUAGUUUCUCUAGUAGGUAAUUUAAACUCCCUAACUAGCAUGGAAAUAUAAUUAUCCACAUAUCUGGCCAUAAACCAGGGCACAAAAGCAAUUAUUUUACUAUGCACAGAAAGAUCUGCAUAGAGUUUUUCCUGGAAAGCAGUUUUUUCUUCUUUACUAAAGUUCUAAAAAAAUUAUGUACGGAACAAUUCCCAUCUAGGUUUAUAGAAUUCUUUAGAAAUUCUUUUUCUUGUCAGAGAUCCUGGACUAAAAUCAAUUUGGUUGUGAUUCAUUUUAAACCAGUUGGAAAUUUCAUUUCGGAUUCAGUUGGAUCCAUAUCAGGAAUUACAGUAACAAUAUUAUUAUUAUCAAUCCUGAUGCGAUUCAUUCUAGUGCUUUCUCUAAUCUGAGAUGUAGAAGCUCUAGAGGGAGAUCUAACAAUAUAAUCAACAGGAGAUAUGUAUGAAGAUGCUGAUCUUGUUAAUCUUGAUGAUGUUGCAACACACAAAUCAUCAGCUCUGUUUAAUAGAGGUAAUGUAUCAGAAAAUCUGAUUCGAACAGUACUAUCAGCAGAUUGUUCUACCUCUGAAAUCUCUUCAUUGAGAUCUGUUUGAGGAGGAGCUGCAUCCUCAAGGAUCCAUUCUUUUGGGAAAUCAAUUUCAUUCCAUUUUAUAGGUCGCCUAGUAACAACUUUGGAUCUACAAAAAUUUGUUUCCAUUAAAAUAGUUUCAUUUUUGAAAUUCAUCUUUCUACACAUUGGAUUUAAAGUAUGGAGAGGUUUAUAAUAUAUCCUAUAACAAAUACAUAUAACCUCAGUACCAGGCAUGUAAUAAUAUCCAUGCAAUUUAAUACUCAGAAUUAAAGCAUCCAAAGAAUUUUCAUUAGUGAGAGAUAUCUGUAGAUUAGGAUAUGUAUUAAGAUACACCGGGCCAUAAGCCAAACUGGUUUGAACUGUCCCAAUAAGAGACUUCUUUCAAUUUUUAUUUCUGCCAUCUCUUAAAACUGCAUGAAAGCUUUCAGGCAAACCUCUCAAGAUUAGUGGUUUAAAUGCGAUUUGAAUUAAAUCAGUAUGCAUAAACUUACAUGUUUCACGAUAUGGAGCAAAAUCACUUUCAGAUAAUAAUUUGAAAGUAGCAUGAUCACCAUCUACUGUAAAUGUCUGUUAAGUUGUUUUAACAACUUGUUUGAGAGCUAAAGUCUCGAAAGUUCCCAUUUGGUACAACUUUCUGGGUGGCACUUUUGGGAUCGUCCACUUAUUAAGCAGAUCCAAGUGCUGAGGAAUAUCAUAUUAAACAGAUCCAAGUGCUGAGGAAUAUCAUACUCCUCUUUCUUACUGUUUUUCACAAUAUUUUUCUUCCUGAUGAUAUUCAUUAGGAAUGAUGUGUUGAACAUAUAACAGUUAUGCAUACAAGUAUUUCAUGACUCUGAUACCAUACAAGAACCGGAUCGCUUCACUGUCGCACUAGGUACCUUUACUAUAUGUUAGUUAAAAUAAUAAUAAUAAUAAUAAUAUGAGAAUAAAAAUUAUAAUGUUUAAAUAAAGGAAUAAACAUUGAAUUUUAUGUUAAUCUUUUGAAAACAUGUCUUUCACAUUAAGAUGACCUUUUUUUUUUUUUCAUGUAUUAAUUAAUUUAAUUUAGACUAAAGAGAAUUUUCUUAAACAUAAAAAAGAAAUAGUUUUUUUUUUCUUCAAUUAGUUAGCUAAAAAUAGACUAUUGAACAAAAUAAAAGCUAUUUAAAAAAAAUCACUCGAUUCAGGUUUGAUAUUUUCAUAAUAAAUAAAUAAAUAAAUUCGUAAAGUUAGCCACCCUAUUAAGUUAGUUAAAAUAUUUUGGUCAACCGUUUUAAAACAGUGGUUCUUAAAUGCCUUAAAACUCUUCUUAGGACGUUAAUUGAACUCUUAUCUAUUUUCUCUAAUUUUAAAAGUUUAUUUCUGUUUUUGAACCUUUUAAAUUUUUUAAAGUUUUUUUUGAUUUUUCUAUAAAAAUUAAGUGGCGACUCUAAAAAUGAUUUAAGAAGUCAAGAAUCAUUUUCUUUCAAAUAAUUUAUCUUUCCUUUGAUAAAUCCAAAAAAGAUAAAACAAUUAAUUUGUUUAAAAUAAAAAGUUAUACUUAUAUUUUUAUUGGGUUCUGUUUUCCUAGUUUUUUUUUCGCGCACGAUUUUAUUUUAGUCUUGUUUCAGUUAGAUCAUUGUAGUGUAGUAUUUGUUAGGAUUUACAUUCUAGUUAUUUAUUUAAUUUUUUUUGUAUCGAAAUAGUGAAGCAAGAGUCAGUAUGAUUACAAAAAUUUUCAAGUCUCAAAUCACUUCAGAUUUUGCUUUAGUAUGCUCUCUUCCAUGUCCAGUUAUUCUCAAAUCACAGCGAUGUUACUUCUUCUGGACCAUAUCAAAUAAAGACAAAAAAAAAAAGAGAAUAUUUGGAUUUUCUUGAAUCCGACCUUGUUAAAAAAAAAUAAAAUUUCAGAUUAUCAUCCUAAUCUGCGUGAUAGGGCAAUGAUAUAUUAAAAAAAAGACCUUGUAAAUUUUGAGAAUCCAUGAAUUUAAAAUUUUGAAUCCCUCUAUCAAUUUACAGAUUUUUUAAAUGUAAAAAUGAAGAUAUCUAUGUAUAAAAGUAAAUACAUAUCUAUAAUGUAAAAGUGAACAUCUCUCUUAAAAGAUAUAAAACUUAAAAUAAUGUGACCUAAAAGUAAAUUCUCAUAAUAAACUGCUUUGAUGGUUUUCAUUUCUUUAUUAGUUAAAUACUAGUAAUAAGAAAGAUGAUUGGGUGUCUCUUAGGGUAUACUAGUAUCUGCGCAAUGUGCGGAUAAUAUUUAAAGAAAAUAAUAAUAAAAAUAUAGAUUAAAAAAAUAGUUUAGAUCUACAAAUUUACCAAAUGAAUAUGAAGAAAAGUCAAAAUUUUCUAUUAAAAAAAGCAAUCAGUUGAUUCCCAAUUAUAUUUCUUACAUUUUUCUUUUAUCAUAUAUGUUUUCUAGUGAUACUAUUUUAUCAAAAGUUUAUAAUUUAACGAUGAUGAAAUUUACUACUCAAUAACUUACUUUUUGUUUCAAAUUCUUAUUGUCUUACUCAUUAGAUAAUCCUACAACAAUAAAUUAUAUCUAAAUAGAGAAGUUAUCAAACUUACCAAAUUAUUUUUCUCACGAAAAAAGAAUAUUGUGUAAAUUCAUUUUAGCAAAUGAUUUUCUUGUUUCAAGCAUAUGUUGUGAAUGGAGUAUUUAACCUUCUAAUGCGCUUUUUCUUUUACCGAUUUCUUAUAAGUAAAAAUGAAAAUCUCUCUAUAUAAAAAUGAAUACAUAAAAGUUAACAUCUCUUGUAAAAAGGAUAUGAAACUAAAAAAAUGUGACCUAAAAGUAAAUUCUCACAAUUAACUGCUUUGAUGAUCUUCAUUUCAUUAUUAGUCAAAUACUAGCUAGUAAUAAGAAAGAUGAUUGGGUGUGUUUUAGGGUAUAUUUUCUUACGCUAAUUGAUUUCCUAGUAGUAGAUCUCAAAAGGUGAUCUCUAAUAUUAGAUUUUUCAGGAAUAUCUAUAUUAGAGAUCCACUUAGGGGUUCAAUUUCUUUCCACUUUGGAAGAAAAAUAAGAGAACCACUUAUGGAGUUAAUUUCUUUUCUUUUUGGAAGAAAUAUAAUUACCAUCUUGCUGUAUUUUUUCUUUAACAAAUUUCUUUUUAAAUAGUGUUUAAGGAUAGGUUAUUUAACUUGAUCUUUUUUGUUGAAUUUAUAUCACUAGAUAGAGCAUCUAUUGAUUCUUUUAGUAAUACUUGGUAAAAUAAAAUUUCAAUGUAAACAAGAACAAAUAAGUGACCGGGGAUAGACCUUACUGUACCAAUCAGACAACCUUAAUGAGGUAACGAAUUAGAGGUAGUAUUGACCUUACUUUUUUCUUCUCUCAUUUUCACAUCAAUAACCAAAUAUAUACGCAAUUAAGUUCAGUUUCAGCAACUUUAGGGAUAUUGUUUUUCUUCUAGUCUCUAGAGUAAAAAAGUUCGUACACUUUAAAAAAAAAAAAGAAAAUAAAUCUUAUCUAACUUUUUAAAGUGAAAUUUAUUCAAUUCCAUUCCAAGGAAAUAUAUUUUUCAUCUUACUAUAAUCGUUGCCACUAUUUGAACUACAUUUUCGUAUAAAUUUUUAACACGAAAUUAUUGAGUCUUAAGGUGGACUAAACACAACAACAAUAACAUGCCCAGUAUAUUUCCACCAAGUGGGGUUUGGGGAGGGUAAGCGUACGAAGUACAUAUCACUACCUCAGAUGUGAGAUAGAGAGGCUAUUUCCGAUAGACCCCCGGCUCAAAAUAAAACAAUCUAGACAAAGAAAGAGUCAGAUGCUAUAAUAGCUCAAAAACAAUCUUUCAUCAUGUGAUUUCAAGAUUAGUUUAUGCAGCUAAACCAAAUCGCAUACACCACAAAAGAAUAGAAACCAAAAACCUUAAAAAGGACAACAAAUACUAUAAGAUCAGAUGCUAUAAGGUGGACUAAAAACAAAAUUCGAUUUAUCCGUUAAGGAAAAAAAAUACUUCGCUGUAAAUGCAUCCAUUCAAUUUGCCCCAUUUUCACCUAAAUUGGUCAAAAUACAUAGUUUUUUUUUACUUUUCGUGAAAAAUUAUAUAUGUAGAGCAACUAAUUAUAUAUUGCCUAAAUGCAAUGAAUCACACUUCUCUUUGUAGGUAUAGAAUAUAGAUAGAGCGUUAUGUACAUUGGUUUAAUACUUCAAUCGAAUCAUACAACUAAUUAAUCAAUUCAAAUAUCUUUUAAUUCAAUAUUCCUUCCUUAUUAUUCGUGGUUCUUAAUUUGUCAACGGAAAAGGUACGAAUAUACCCUUGAAUUUUGAUAAAUGGUAUAGAUAUACUCCUCGUUAUACUCUAGGUACAUAUGUACCCUCGCCGUUAAUGAAAAUGUAGGAAUAUACCCUUAUCACUAACGGAGGGAUACGUGUCGAUUUUCUAUUCUCUAGUCUUUUCUAAUUAAAUUCAGUUAAAAUAAAUUUCAAAUCCAACCCAAAUUAAAAUUAAACCCGACCCAAAUUAAAACACCACCCGUUUAUGAAUCCCGGGCUUCUAGGAAAGUUGAUAAAGCCAUCAAGAGCAUCUGGAUCGUGGUGCAGGCUUGCAUUUUUUGGUGUAUUUAGCGUGAAAGGAAUCUUAGAUGUUACAAUGCAGUAUCAACUCCCUAACAUCUGGGUUUUUGAUUAGCCGUUUUAGUUGGGGAAAUCUUUCCCCAGUAAAUAAUCUGACCACUAUUUGGAACUUGUCAUCUCCUUAGUUUUAUUAUACUCUUUGUGUUUCAGAGCUGAUAUUUUCUCAGUUUGGAAUUUCUGCAUCUUCUUGAUGCCUUUAAAUGGUAGUUCACUUAUUUCAUCAAAAAAAAAACUGCUGAUUUUGACCUUUAAAUCUUUAAUGUUUUUUCAGUUUGGUUUUGACCAAUAUCUCUCCUGACGUUUACAAUCCAUGAGACUUUUCGAGUUUAGUUCUGAUAUCAGUGUGAAUAUAUUGAUUUAAGGAGUGAGGAAAAAUUCUCUGGAAAUCCUUAGCAGUUGUACGUUUGAGUUGGCUAGUGUAAUGAUUACAGUUGAUGUCUCGUAUGAAAGACUUAAACUAUUGAUAUUGUACCCUCAUGUUUCUGUUGUUUUUCUGCAGCUUGCAAUUUUGCUGAAGGCAGGUGGAUUGCAGACAGAAGGCGACCAUUGCAGACAGUCGGGUGGUGUUUUAAUUUGGGUCGGGUUUGAUUUUAAUUUGGAUUGGAUUUGGAAUUUAUUUUAACUGAAUUUAAUUAAAAAAGGCUAGUGAAUAGAAAAUCGACACGUGUCUCUCCGUUAAUGAUAAGGGUAUAUUUGGACAUUUUCAUUAAUGGCGAGGAUAUAUAUGUACCUAAAUUAUAACGAGGGGUAUAUCUGUGCCAUUUAUCAAAGUUCGGGAUAUAUUCGUACCUUUUCCGAUUUGUCAAUGCUAAUUUAAGUAUGUUUUCACCACUCAGACUUUCUUGAGUAAGUUUGAGAAUCCACAAAGGAAAUACUGAAUUUCAUAUUUUCCCUAAUCAUUUGAUUACAAUUAAUAAAACAAUAAUUAUUAUGUGGAAGUUAGUUGUUUACUAAUUCCCAACACAUAUCAAAGAUGCAUACAUUUUAGUAGUAGAUUUUGAAGCAUCAAAGUCUGGUCAAUAUCUUAAGAUUUUUUUUCUCUCCGAAAACAAUAAAUUUUAUUUUGUUUUUAAGCUCUCGAGCAAGAAGAAUAAAUAAGAAAUGCACUAUCCGUCGUUGUGUAUAUGUUUUCUUUUUUUAAGAAGAUAUAUAAAAUUUUGGGGGUGGUUUAUUUUAGAGACAAAUAAUGAAAAAUUGUAAUAUAAGACUUAGUAAUGCAAAACUUGUAAUGUAUGGACUAUUUUUUGUCGAUCAUUUAGUUUGAUACAUUACAUGUUAUCGUGC